rnacentral:misc_RNA from 1 species
GAUGAAGAACGCAGCGAAAUGCGAUAAGUAAUGCGAAUUGCAGAAUUCCAGUGAGUCAUCGAAUCUUUGAACGCACAUUGCGCCCUUUGGUAUUCCGAAGGGCAUGCCUGUUCGAGCGUCAUUAUCACCCCUCAAGCCCUCGGCUUGGUGUUGGACGGUUUGGUGGAGGCCCCCUCGGGGGCUCCUGCACCUCCCAAAGACAAUGACGGCGGCCUCGUUGGACCCCCGGUACACUGAGUUCUUCACGGGACACGUAUCGGACACAUGGGUUUACGGGACACGGUCUGCCUCCCCUCAGGGAGAAUCUUUCUAAGGUUGACCUCGGAUCAGGUAGGGUUACCCGCUGAAUUUAAGCAUAUCAAUAAGCGGAGGA